GAAGAAACUUCUUCAAGCUCUUACAGGUCUAUUCCACACUCAGUAUUCCAGGAUUCAAAAUUUCUGGUCUUUCUUUCCCCUGCAAUAUGAGCCAUCUGCCCAUAGAAGAGAAGGUCGAUGGAGAGAGAGUCAGGAAAGAAUGCCUUCCUUACCACCUCCCAGGGAAAGAUAUUGACAAAGCAGAAGCUAUUCAGAGGAGGAAAACUAAGAUCCUGAUGGGAUGGGAGACUGCCAUAAAAAAAGAGACGGAAAGAACUCUCCAUACAUUGUUAGGCAGAAGGAGAGGCACAGGAAGAUAUGACAGCUGUCCUCAAUCAUCUGAAAGACUUUCAUGUGGAAGACGACUUGUCUUGUUUCGCUUCAAUGUACAGUUCGAAGAGAAAUGGUGCAAGUUUUAGAGGCAGAUUUUGGUUCAAUCUAAGGAAAAUCAUUCUAACAGUUGUCUCACAGUGGGAUCAUCUAUCUCUGUAUCGUAAGCUCUCUAUCACUGGAGUUCAUCAAGCAGAGGUCUAAUGCCUAUUUGCUGGUACUGUUGUAGAAGCUGAUUUCUACUGAGCUACAUGGCAGGUAACAUGACCUUCAAGGCCCUUUUCAACUCAGAGAUCCUGUGAUUUUGCUUCAUGAAAGCUAGUCUCCUUUCACCAACUAGAUGCUUCAACUAGGGCAUAAUGAAAACUCCUUUGGAGCUUGCUAUGAUCUCCAGUCUCCCACUGCAGACUAAUACAGGAAUGGGGACACAGCAGGUACUCCAUUAAUCAUUCAAUCAAUUAAUAAGCAUUUAUUAAGCACACACUCACUGUGUAAUUAGAAUUUUUAACCCCAGGACUCCAUUUCCCAGAAUCCCACUUUCAUCCUCACAUUAAGUCCUUACUUUUGGAGAUAAAGUUUCUGUAACCCUGCCCUCUCUCU
rnacentral:lncRNA from 1 species